rnacentral:rRNA from 1 species
UUGGACGCUAGCGGCGGAUGGGUGAGUAACACGUGGGCAAUCUGCCCUAAAGACUGGGAUACCACUUGGAAACAGGUGCUAAUACCGGAUAACAACAUGAAUCGCAUGAUUCAAGUUUAAAAGGCGGCGCAAGCUGUCACUUUAGGAUGAGCCCGCGGCGCAUUAGCUUGUUGGUAGGGUAACGGCCUACCAAGGCUGUGAUGCGUAGCCGAGUUGAGAGACUGAUCGGCCACAAUGGAACUGAGACACGGUCCAUACUCCUACGGGAGGCAGCAGUAGGGAAUCUUCCACAAUGGGCGCAAGCCUGAUGGAGCAACACCGCGUGAGUGAAGAAGGGUUUCGGCUCGUAAAGCUCUGUUGUUAGAGAAGAACGUGCGUGAGAGCAACUGUUCACGCAGUGACGGUAUCUAACCAGAAAGUCACGGCUAACUACGUGCCAGCAGCCGCGGUAAUACGUAGGUGGCAAGCGUUAUCCGGAUUUAUUGGGCGUAAAGCGAGCGCAGGCGGUUUGAUAAGUCUGAUGUGAAAGCCUUUGGCUUAACCAAAGAAGUGCAUCGGAAACUGUCAGACUUGAGUGCAGAAGAGGACAGUGGAACUCCAUGUGUAGCGGUGGAAUGCGUAGAUAUAUGGAAGAACACCAGUGGCGAAGGCGGCUGUCUGGUCUGCAACUGACGCUGAGGCUCGAAAGCAUGGGUAGCGAACAGGAUUAGAUACCCUGGUAGUCCAUGCCGUAAACGAUGAGUGCUAGGUGUUGGAGGGUUUCCGCCCUUCAGUGCCGCAGCUAACGCAUUAAGCACUCCGCCUGGGGAGUACGACCGCAAGGUUGAAACUCAAAGGAAUUGACGGGGGCCCGCACAAGUGGUGGAGCAUGUGGUUUAAUUCGAAGCUACGCGAAGAACCUUACCAGGUCUUGACAUCUUGCGCCAACCCUAGAGAUAGGGCGUUUCCUUCGGGAACGCAAUGACAGGUGGUGCAUGGUCGUCGUCAGCUCGUGUCGUGA